UACGAAGGGGGCUAGCGUUGCUCGGAAUGACUGGGCGUAAAGGGCGCGUAGGCGGAUGGUACAGUCAGAUGUGAAAUUCCCGGGCUCAACCUGGGCUGCAUUUGAUACGUGCUGUCUUGAGUUCGGAAGAGGGUCGUGGAAUUCCCAGUGUAGAGGUGAAAUUCGUAGAUAUUGGGAAGAACACCGGUGGCGAAGGCGGCGACCUGGUCCGAGACUGACGCUGAGGCGCGAAAGCGUGGGGAGCAAACAGG
rnacentral:rRNA from 1 species